CACACUGUAAUCGGCCUACUGUAUACUACGAUGUAAGAUUUUAAAUCGUUGAUUUGAGAGGUAGGAUACAGUGAGACUUUGCUCAGGUUACAGAGAAGAAGGACACUGGGGAGUUGUGGGGCCUGUGUUUGACACAGAUCCACUGAAGAAGUUAUGUCGUCAAAGCUGGGGACACACCAAAUAGUGUUUCAAGAGCACGGAUUACUAUGAUGUGAAAAAAGCAACGGGUGCCAGCUGCUCUCUAGUGUUCACCCCACCUCAUCCAUCCACCUCCUCUCUUGGGGCAGAGGGUAGUGUGAACGGUGGAGUCAGUUCCUUGAAUCAGUCAGUUCCUUGAAGACUGAAUGGUAUUGGUCCCAACCAGAGACCCUCAAGGCAUCAGGGACAACAAGAAGACUGACUGCCUUAUAUAGCCCCACAGCUGUGGGAACUAAUCAAGUCUGGCGACAGGUCGCUUGAAUCAGGCCAGGCCUGAGCCUCAGCUGCUGUGGCACGGCCAAACACCCCUUUCGACCAGCCUCAGAAUGGUACGGCCCACACACCCCUAUGUCCGUCCAGCCCUGGAGUGGAACGUCUCGUCAGACUUUCACUAUGCUGGGUCAGAGGCACUGGUCUAGUGAUGGCCACUACCGUAAUAAUUUAAUUCACUUUAAUUGGAGCCCAGAGAUUGGCGCUGUGCUCCACUGAACUACAUUAUGGCCACCACAACAUCGAUGGGAAGGUGCUGUUUCAGAGGAAUGUCACAAGCUGUGGUGUGUGUGAGCUCAGCUGCAGGGGGACUUGACAGGUGAGUGGCCACUAUGACAGGUGUAAGUCUCUGGUUAAGUUUCUGCUAGCAUAGAGAGCCUACAGGAGAUCACAUUGAAUUAUAGCUAUCAUUUAAGGACUAUAAACCUUUCCACAACAGAGUAACAAGUUAUGGAAUAGUUGCAAUGGAAUAGUCUUUUUUUCUUUUCUUUUAUUAUUAGUUUGUGCCUACAUAGCCUUGUUAAUGUAAACCAUAUUAUUGAGAGACACGAAAAAUGGGAAUUGAAGAUUCUUUUGGGGAAACUUUUCUGCCAUUCCAGAUCCUUCCAGACAAAUAUUGGGCACAUUUUUGAACAGGGCACAAGGGUGAAAUCUGGUUCCAAUGAUUUGCACGGUGGGACAAAAAAGACCUCUGUUUCCUCUAGAUGUCUCUGUAAGUAGAUACAAAGCCUUCAGAAAGUAAUCAGACUACUUGACUUUUUCUAAAUGUUGUUAGGUUACAGCCUUAUUCUAAAAUUGAUACAAUUGUUUUUUCCCCUAAUCAGUCUACACACAAGACUACAUAAUGACGAAGCAAAAACUGGAUUUUAGAAAUGUUUGCUAAUUUAUUACAAAUAAAAACGUAAACAUUACAUUUACAUAAGUAUUCAGACACUUUAGUCAGUACUUUGUUGAAGCACCUUUGGCAGCGAUUACAACCUUCUUGGGAAUGACUCUGCAAGCUUGGCACACCAGUAUUUGGGGAGUUUCCCCAUUCUUCUCUGCAGAUCCUCUCAAGCUCUGUCAGGUUGGAUUAGGAGCGUUGCUGCACAGAUAUUUUCAGGUCUCUCUAGAGAUUGUUCGAUCGGGUUCAAGUCCGGGCUCUGGCUGGGCUAUUUAAGGACAUUCAGAGACUUGUCCAGAAGCUACUCCUGCGUUGUCUUGGCUGUGUGCUUAGGGUCGUUGUCCUGUUGGAAGGUGAAACUUUACCCCAGUCUGAGGUCCUGAGCGCUCUGGAGCAGGUUUUCCUCAAGGAUUUCUCUGUACUUUGCUCUGUUCAUCUUUGCCUCAAUCCUGACUAGUCUACCAGUCCCUGCCGUUGAAAAACAUCCGCACAGCAUGAUGCUGCCACCACCAUGCUUCACUGUAGGGAUGGUGCCAGGUUUCCUCCAGAAGUGAAGCUUGGCAUUCAGGUCAAAUAGUUCAAUCUUGGUUUCAUAAGACCAGAGAAUCUUGUUUCUCAUGGUCCUAGUCUUUCGGUGCCUUUUGGCAAACUCCAAGAGGGCUGUCAUGUGCCUUUUACUGAGAAAUGGCUUCUGCCUGGACACUCUACCAUAAGGGCCUGAUUGGUGGAGUGCUGCAGAGAUGGUUGUCCUUUUGGAAGGUUUUCCCAUUUCCACAGAGGAACUCUCGAACUCUGUCAGAGCGACAAUUGGAUUCUUGGUCACCUCCCAGACCAAGGCCCUUCUUCCCAAUUUCUCAGUUUGGCAGAGCGGCCAUCUCUAAGGAGAGUCUUGGUGGUUCCAACCAAACUUCUUACAUUUAAGAAUGAUGGAGGCCACUAUGUUCUUGGGGACCUUCAAUGCUGUAGAAAUGUUUUGGUACCCUUCCCCAGAUCUGUGCCUCAACGCAAUCCUGUUUCAGAGCUCUACGGACAAUUCCUUUGACCUCAGCUUGGUUUUUACUCCGACAUGCACUGUCAACUGUGGAACCUUACAUAGGUAGGUGUGUGCCUUUCCAAAUCAUGUCCAAUCAAUUGAAUUUACCACAGGUGGACUCCAAUCAUGUUGUCGCAACAUCUCAAGGAUGAUCAAUGGAAACAGGAUGCACCUGAGCUCAAUUUCGAGUCUCAUAGCAAAGGGUCUGAAUACUUAUUAAGUAAGGUAUUUCAGUUGUUAUUUUGAUACAUUUGCUAAUUUUAAAAAAAAUGUUUUUGCUUUGUCAUUAUGGGGUAUCGUGUGUACUGCUGAGGUGUUCCCCCCUCCAUUUUAGAAUAAGGCUGUAACGUAACAAAAUGUGAAAAAGUCAAGGGGUCUGAGUACUUUCCAAAGGCACUGUAUAAUGUCAGUACUAUCAGUUAACAGCCACUGGCUAUAUUUAGGCCCAUGACAAGUGAGACCUGGCUCGGUGACCAAGUGCCCAGAAGCAGAGCAGUUGACUUAUCAAUUACAAAUAACUUUUCCAUGAUCCACAGCUCUGAUCUGGGUCAGCGAUUGACACUGGCUUACCCAUUUGAAAAACGUGAGCAAUUUUGGUAACCUGAGAUUCUGUUGCGAUCUUAUAUUGUUGACCAUCUUCUUUUAUUUAUGUGCUGAUAUAAUUCAGCAGACACUUGUCAACUGUGAACUCAAUGGCCAAUACAGUGUAGUAGUAAUGUAAUGCCAACAUAGAAAUCAGGUUCACCAUUCAUCAGUAAACUGGGAUUUUUAUGUUUUCACACCAUUCUCCUGUUUAAAUAUAUGAAAAUCUUCUGUUCCAUAAUUGAUCCAUUCUCGUUGGAAAUAUACAUAUCAAAACAAAUGUUGAGUUACUCAUCUUCACAUGUACCCCUCAUUUUUUCGAUUUGGAGGGAAACAAGUGGAAGUUCUUAUUAACUACUAUAAUAAUUCACGAUCCAAAACUUUAGUAACAGUCACCGCUGCCCUCUAGUGUUGAUGGAUAAAGUUGGCAGUGCACCUGUUUUUUUGUAAAGGGAAUUCAUUACACAGUACAUAGAAGGUAACACAUUUCACAAUUAAACACAAUUAUAACUUUUCCUAUGUAUUACUUUUAGGACAAGGAGCAAAAAGUCUGUAUGAUACGAAUUAGCAUAGAAAAUGUAACUGCAUUUAAUGUAAUACCAUUAUCCUCUGUUUCAACAAAAUCUCUGCAAAGCCAACCCUCUCACCGUCUUGGAGAGGGCACCAUCUGUGGAGAGAAAGACAUUCAGGGGCUUCGUGGGUGCCAACUGUGGAGCGGUCAGGUAGCAUGUAGAGCUGGACUUCCAGGGGUGCGAUGGAGGUAAGGGAGUGGUGGAGGAGAGCUGGGUGCCUGGGGUGAUGGAUCUCCCACUGGGAGGAGAUGACGCGGGAAAGGAGCGGCCAGGCCUGGUCCCACUGCAACGUCCCACACAGACAUAUUCAUCCUGCACAUCACUUCUGUUCUCAUAAAACUGAAGAUCUAGGUUCCCCCACAUAAACACAUCAAUCACAGUCAAUCAAUCAAUCACUUUAUUAUCCCAGUUGGGAAAACUGUUUUAAAAAAAUGGACUGAUGUGCUUUAAAGAACAGUUUAGAGCUUCACUCUAAGAGCUCAACUCCGGGCAUGGUCUUUUGCAGGACUUACUUCUGACUUGGCGGGAGCCUUCUCAACCCUUUGACCGUAAAAGGAUUAACCUUAUUGUAUCCCUUCUUGGAUGAAGAACUGGGAACAUCAGGGAGAGCGGCGGCCU